rnacentral:sRNA from 1 species
CCCGGAUGAGAAUUUGUUAGAAAAAACUGCAUGGUGAAUCCCCCUGAGCGGAGGGGCGACUGGUGACGGUAUAAUCUCUGAUUAUCAAAACGAGAAUGACGCGGGUUUAGUGGCACCGGGCUGAACUCACCGGGAGGCACCCGGCACCAUACAAUGGCACAUCGCGCCACUCUCCAGCCCCUCUCCGGAGGGGCUUUCUUAUGGAC